rnacentral:ncRNA from 2 species
AAUCACUCAUCGGGGUGCUCUUAUAGGAAGAGCUGAGAUUAUACCCGUGUACCUGAUCCAGGUUAUACUGGCGGAGGAAAUGAGAUGAUGCGUAUU